AUUGAACGCUGGCGGCAUGCCUUACACAUGCAAGUCGAACGGUAACAGGUCUUCGGAUGCUGACGAGUGGCGAACGGGUGAGUAAUACAUCGGAACGUGCCUAGUAGUGGGGGAUAACUACUCGAAAGAGUGGCUAAUACCGCAUGAGAUCUACGGAUGAAAGCAGGGGAUCGCAAGACCUUGUGCUACUAGAGCGGCCGAUGGCAGAUUAGGUAGUUGGUGGGAUAAAGCUUACCAAGCCGACGAUCUGUAGCUGGUCUGAGAGGGCGAUCAGCCACACUGGGACUGAGACACGGCCCAGACUCCUACGGGAGGCAGCAGUGGGGAAUUUUGGACAAUGGGCGCAAGCCUGAUCCAGCAAUGCCGCGUGCAGGAUGAAGGCCUUCGGGUUGUAAACUGCUUUUGUACGGAACGAAAAGCCCCGGGUUAAUACCCUGGGGUCAUGACGGUACCGUAAGAAUAAGCACCGGCUAACUACGUGCCAGCCGCCGCCGUAA
rnacentral:rRNA from 1 species